rnacentral:rRNA from 1 species
GUGGGGAAUAUUGGGCAAUGGGCGAAAGCCUGACCCAGCGACGCCGCGUGAGGGAAGAAGGUCUUCGGAUUGUAAACCUCUGUUAUAGAGGACGAACAAAUGACGGUACUCUAUGAGGAAGCCACGGCUAACUACGUGCCAGCAGCCGCGGUAAUACGUAGGUGGCGAGCGUUAUCCGGAUUUACUGGGUGUAAAGGGUGUGUAGGCGGGAGAGCAAGUCAGAUGUGAAAAUUAUGGGCUCAACUCAUAAAUUGCGUCUGAAACUGUUUUUCUUGAGGGUCGGAGAGGUAACUGGAAUUCCUGGUGUAGCGGUGAAAUGCGUAGAUAUCAGGAGGAACACCGGUGGCGAAGGCGAGUUACUGGACGAUUACUGACGCUGAGACACGAAAGUGUGGGGAGCAAACAGGA